rnacentral:rRNA from 1 species
AACGAACGCUGGCGGCAUGCCUAACACAUGCAAGUCGAACGAGACCUUCGGGUCUAGUGGCGCACGGGUGCGUAACGCGUGGGAACCUGCCCUUAGGUUCGGAAUAACUCCCCGAAAGGGGUGCUAAUACCGGAUAAUGUCUUCGGACCAAAGAUUUAUCGCCUUUGGAUGGGCCCGCGUUGGAUUAGCUAGUUGGUAGGGUAAAAGCCUACCAAGGCGACGAUCCAUAGCUGGUCUGAGAGGAUGAUCAGCCACACUGGGACUGAGACACGGCCCAGACCCCGGGGGGAGGGGGAGGUGGGAAAUAUGGGACAAGGGCGAAAGGCGUAACCCAGCAUGGCCGGGUGGGGAAGAAGGCUGUUGGGGUUGAAAAGCUUUUUUCCCGGGGUUGAAAAUGAAGGUCCGGGAAAAAUAGGCCCCGGCUACCUCCGUG